AUGGAUGGCGGCGACAUCGAGAGCGGUGGCGUUUGGAUGAUGGAGGCGGAGCCAGACAACCGUGGUCGGUUCAGGGUUACCUUCGCCGUGGGCCUAGUGACUCUCUCUAUUAUGGUACUCUCCAUAUACCUAAUGGGUCCAGACGCGUUCGAUCCCGACCCUCCAAAACCGGAGAGCAUGUUUGUUUUCGUCGCCGGCAUUAUAUGCCUCGCAGUAGGUUGCUGUUUCUUCCUGCUCUUUGGAAGUCUCAUCCAGGAGUGGGAGCUUGGCCAUCCCGAGGGACGUAGACUUGUAGAUAAGUUGCUGAUGUAA
rnacentral:rRNA from 1 species